AUGUGCGGCUGCGACGACUGCUGCGGCUGCAUCUCUUACAGGACCAGGGAGAACAUCAAGUACGGCUGCAUCUGCUUCGGCGUCGUCGCCGUCGUGGUCGUCUUCGCCGUCCUCCUGGCCGCCUACGCCUUCCUCCGCCACGUCAGCAUCAUCGUGGAGGACGCCUCGCUGACCAGGUUUGCACUGCUGACGACCCCGGCGACGGCGCUCGCGUACAACCUCUCGCUGUCUCUCAACGUCCGCAACCCGAACUGGGCGAUGAGCAUCAAGAACACGGAGCCGUUCGAGGCCGCCUACAAGUUCGACGGCCAGCAGUUCGACCGCGUGCAGGUCUCUGACAAGGGCGACAAGCAUCCCCCCAGGAAGACCAUGGUUUACCGCCUUGACUCGGGAUCAGACGGCGCCCUCGUGUCGCUGGGUAACGCCGGCGUGGUGGAGUACAAGAAGGAGAACGAGACAGGUGUGUUCGAGGUGGAGGUGGCGCUGACCCGCAAAGUGAGCUACACAGCGCGCUACACCAAGUGCAAGAUCGAGGCCACCUGCAAGCUCAAGCUCAAGCUCGUGAAGCCGGAGACGACCACGGUGGUGUUCGAAAAAGUGAAAUGCAAGCUAGAAAAGGCCGAGAAAAACUGCUAG
rnacentral:rRNA from 1 species